AAUUGCUUUGUUGGCAUCAGGUCAGAGUUCUACAAUAACAGGAACUUAUGCAGGGCAGUAUGUCAUGCAGGGUUUCUUGGAUCUACGAUUGACACCAUGGAUGCGGAACUUUCUAACUCGAUGCUUGGCAAUAGUCCCUAGUUUAAUUGUUGCACUCAUUGGUGGCUCUGCUGGGGCUGGAAAGCUAAUUAUUAUUGCAUCUAUGAUUCUAUCAUUUGAGCUACCUUUUGCUCUCAUUCCACUUCUCAAGUUCACCAGUUGCAAAACCAAGAUGGGGAUACACGCCAACUCAACUAUGAUUUCAGCUCUCACUUGGAUUAUUGGUUCCCUGAUCAUGUCAAUAAAUAUAUACUACCUUGCAACUGGCUUCAUCAAGAUUCUUCUUAAUGGCCAUUUAGAAGUGGUAGCUGUUGUUUUUCUUGGAAUAUUCGGAUUUUCAGCUAUGGCGGUGUAUUUGGCUACAAUUGCUUACUUGGUGUUCCGUAAAAACAAGGAAGCUACUCAUCUUCUGGCACUAACAACACCUGAAAGUCGACAGAUGGUCAACGAGUCUUGUGAUACAUCAAUG
rnacentral:misc_RNA from 1 species